rnacentral:lncRNA from 1 species
ACUUGAUAGCGACGGGGCCGACCUCCUCACCAAGCUGUUGCAGUUUGAGGGUCGAAAUCGGAUCUCCGCAGAGGAUGCCAUGAAACAUCCAUUCUUCCUCAGUCUGGGGGAGCGGAUCCACAAACUUCCUGACACUACUUCCAUAUUUGCACUAAAGGAGAUUCAGCUACAAAAGGAGGCCAGCCUUCGGUCUUCGUCGAUGCCUGACUCAGCCAUCUGCUCUGCUUUCCCCCACAGGCAGGCCAGCUUUCCGCGUGGUGGACACCGAGUUCUAAGCCACAGACCGAGGCCCCAGCAGGCAGCGGCUGGAGGGAUGCCACACCCCUCACAGGGCAGCCCCCAACUACAUCUUCCCUGCUUACUCUCUGCCUACCUGCCUGAGCCAUGUUCACCUGCCCACUUGUCCCCUGCUGCCUGCCCAAACACCCCACCAUUGGCCUGUCAACCCACCCAUUGGCCUGUCUGCUGGGUGCUAACAAAGCUCUCAUCACUCCUUCA